GAUGAACGCUGACAGAAUGCUUAACACAUGCAAGUCUACUUGAACUUCGGUUUGGGUGGCGGACGGGUGAGUAACGCGUAAAGAACUUGCCUCACAGUUAGGGACAACAUUUGGAAACGAAUGCUAAUACCUGAUAUUAUGAUUUUAGGGCAUCCUAAAAUUAUGAAAGCUAUAUGCGCUGUGAGAGAGCUUUGCGUCCCAUUAGCUAGUUGGAGAGGUAACGGCUCACCAAGGAGAUGAUGGGUAGCCGGCCUGAGAGGGUGAACGGCCACAAGGGGACUGAGACACGGCCCUUACUCCUACGGGAGGCAGCAGUGGGGAAUAUUGGACAAUGGACCAAAAGUCUGAUCCAGCAAUUCUGUGUGCACGAUGACGUUUUUCGGAAUGUAAAGUGCUUUCAGUUGGGAAGAAAAAAAUGACGGUACCAACAGAAGAAGUGACGGCUAAAUACGUG
rnacentral:rRNA from 1 species